UACGAAGGGGGCUAGCGUUGCUCGGAAUCACUGGGCGUAAAGCGCACGUAGGCGGACUCUUAAGUCGGGGGUGAAAGCCUGUGGCUCAACCCACAGAAUGGCCUUCGAUACUGGGACGCUUGAGUAUGGUAGAGGUUGGUGGAACUGCGAGUGUAGAGGUGAAAUUCGUAGAUAUUCGCAAGAACACCAGUGGCGAAGGCGGCUCACUGGCCCGGUACUGACGCUGAGGUGCGAAAGCGUGGGGAGCAAACAGG
rnacentral:rRNA from 1 species